GCCACCCCUGCUCCAAUAACUAGCAACCGAGAAGGGACAGCCUGUGAUUUCCACUCAUUUCUCUUGGUAGGGACCCACUGUUUUACUGUAAGGCUGGGUUAAGACUCUGAGACUGGGCCUCCCCAGAGCUGAACUUCGAACCUCUAGAGGGCACUCUUUUUGGUGAAAAAGGACCCUGACAGACGUUUGAGCCGUUGGUAGCCUGUGCUGUGGCCCCGGGCUGGCCCAUGGAGGAGGGAGCUUGUCCUUAGCUGCACCCAUCUAGAAUGGAGCUUGUAUCAUGCGGGCAGAGAGGAGGGAUGGGCCAAGGCAAGUACCCCAAACCCACACUCCCUUCCUGGAAGGAUUUGGUAGAUUUUCCUGAACACUGUUUCCCCCUUGGCUGAGAGUCCUCAGAACAACUUCCGGGACUUUUUUUUUUUUUUCUUCGGAGCUGGGGACGGAACCCAGGACCUUGCGCUUCCUAGGAUCUCACUAUGUACUCUUAGCUGGCCUGGAGCUUGAUAAAACGGACUGGCCUCAGACUCAUAGAGACCAACCUGCUUCUGCCUCCUACACGCUGGGAUGAGAGGGUAUAGAACCAAAUGGUAUAUUCUAAGAACAACCCCUUAUGUCUCCCUCUCCCACCCAUCCUUCCUAAUACACAAAGAUGGCGUUAACAUUGAAUUUUCUUGUUUGGGCAUGUUCUCUCAAACAGGGUCUCACAUGGCUGACUCGGAACUUACUAUGCAUGGUGGUCUUUUAGUUUCAGCCACCCAGGGAUUAAAGGUGAGCUCUACCAUUCUGACUUUACCUAUCUUUCCCAUUUGUUGUCUCGAAGCGCAUGUCUUAUUUCCCUACUUGGGGUUGUGUGUCCUUUGGACACACCCAAUCCUGUUCUGUCUAGAUGUUCUGUUGGUCACCUAGACUAGAUAUGUAGGUCAUCUCCAAUAUUUUUCAAUUUUACAUUGUUUUACAACAGAUAUGUGUGUUUGUGUGCACAGGUGUGUGUAUGUGUGUGCUUAUGUGUGUGCACAUGUCUAUGUGUGUGCAUGUGUGUGUGUGUAUGUGUGUGCUUAUGUGUGUGCACAUGUCUAUGUGUGUGCAUGUGUGUGCAUGUGUGUGUGUGUGUGUGUGUGUGUGUGUGUGUGAGGGCACGCACAUGCACAUGCAGGUGUACGUGGGACACUUUCCAAGAAGCAUGAAUACAGAACUGAUUUUUCUGUGUGCUGCCAAGUCUCCCCCUUGAGAUCCUAUGUUCUAUGCCUCCCACUAGGGUUGCUUUGAUGCAAGUUUCCCUGUUACCUCCACAGCACUCUGUAUGUUUGCAACUGUGUCAACCUGACAGAUAAGGAAUGGUCCUCCUUGUGACUAUCAUUUUUUUUUAUUUCCCUUAUAAUGAAAGGCUGAGCAUCUUUUUAUAUGGUUAGAGGUCUAAUUGACUAUUAUUUUGCUUAUAAAUCCCUUCUAAAACAGCUUCAUGGGAGCAUAAUUAAUAUUUUUACAAUAUAUACAAAGUGGCAAUUACAUGUUUAUAGAUACCUGUAUAUACAAGUGAAACUGUUCCAGUCAGAUAAUGAAAGUGUUUAUCGCUACUCCCGGUUUCCCUGGGCCCCUCCCCCACCCUCUUCGUCCACAUGUUUGCUGCUUUAUGUGUGUACCUUCCUAGGGCUUUAUUGGCACGGAACUGUGACAAGUUUUUGAUUUUGGUCUGAGAUGCGCAGCAGCUCAGUCUUUCCAUGUGUGAGCAGUGUACUUUUAUGGAAUGUUCUGAAAUGCAUUUCUCCCUUCACCUGUUUAUGAAUCUGGGGUGGUUUCUCCAACCGUUGCUAUGAAUGUUCUUGUCAAAUCUUCAUGUAAACAGAGGGUAAUUUGUAUACCUUGGAGUGGAAUGGCAGACCAUAUAUGUUUUGAAGUGGGUUUCAUGUAGCCCAGGCUAGCCUCAAAUUCUUUAUGUAGCCAAGGAUGACCUUGAAUUCCUGAUCCCUCUCCCCUUCUACCCAAAUGAGUGCUAGGGUUACAGAUAUGUGCCACCAUACCCGGAUUCAUGUUUCUUCUUUUUUUUGGUGUGUGUGUGUGUGUGCGUGUGUGUGUAUGUGUGUGUGUGUGUGUGUGUGUGUAUGUGUGUAAGGGUUUAUUUGGUUUAUUCUUCCCAAUCACAGUCCAUUACGAAAGGAAGUCAGGUAGGUUUCAAACAGAGAUUUGGAGUCAGGAAUCGAAACAGAGGCCAUCGAGGAACACUACUUGCUGCCAGCAUGCAGCCCUGAGCCAUGGCCAUACAUCAUCUGUCUACGUCUUCUUUGGUGACUGCUAUGGGCUCUGCAUUACAAACAUAGAUACCCACUCCCCGAGGCCAUCUCACCCAUCCAGUGAAACAUUUGAACCAUUACCCUUUGCACUUCUGCUCUAUAUAGUCUGCCUAAACUGUCUCUUUAAAAAAGAAAAAAAUAAAAAAAGAUUUAUGGAGCUGGAGACAUGGCUCAGCGGUUAAGAGCACUGACUGCUCCUCCAGAGGUCCUGAGUUCAAUUCCCAGCAACCACAUGGCGGCUCACAACCAUCUGUAAUGAGAUCUGAUGCUCUCUUUUGGUGUGUCUGAAGACAGCCACAGUGUACUUGUAUAAUAAAAUAAAAAUAAAUAAAUAAAUAAAUAAAUAAAUAAAUAAA